UACGAAGGGGGCAAGCGUUGUUCGGAAUUACUGGGCGUAAAGGGCGCGUAGGCGGCCUUCUAAGUCAGACGUGAAAUCCUGGAGCUCAACUCCAGAACUGCCUUUGAUACUGAAAGUCUUGAGUAUGGGAGAGGUGAGUGGAACUGCGAGUGUAGAGGUGAAAUUCGUAGAUAUUCGCAAGAACACCAGUGGCGAAGGCGGCUCACUGGCCCGAUACUGACGCUGAGGCACGAAAGCGUGGGGAGCAAACAGGG
rnacentral:rRNA from 1 species